GCACUGUUGAGGAGUCCCACAAUAGGAUGAAACGGCCGUGCAGUGC
rfam:Schistosoma rodhaini strain Burundi genome assembly, scaffold: SROB_scaffold0000313